CCGCCUCACUCAUUGACCCGUUUUCUGUGUCGUCAGGUCAGUGUCAGUGGUCAGAGUGUGGAUGGUAGGUGACGAACUUAUGAGGCGGUGGUAGGCGUCGUGGUUUUAUAGGGCUUUUGGACAUGAUGUGGGCGCCCUAAUCGAGUUAAAGAAGGGGGGAGAAGGAAGCCGUGCAAGUGGUGUGGUGGUUUUCUGUCUGGGGGCGAGAGGAGAGGAGGAGUAGUGGAAGUAUAGUAUAGUAGUUUGUGUUGUUGUUGUGGUGUUGGUAGUGCCACCACUGGUAUUUCGUGGCCCUCAGUCAGUCAGUGUCGGUGAGCUUGUGUGGUGGCACUGUCGCAACUGUGCCCCCUUCCUGCCUUCUUUUUUUAAAAAGAGUAAAAAGUUUCGUCAUUUAGAGCGCCAUGGCUUCCAAUGGUGGUACGCGGUUGCUGCUCGUCACGGCCAACAUCGCUUCGUGCUUCGAACAGCCGGAUACAAUGCUGAAGCCAUGGAUUACAGAAUUCUUAAAGACAGUCGAGAGCCAGGAACCCCAUUUUAUAGGGCUUCACUGCAGGAAGUGGGUGGCAAAAAUUAUGAGGAGAGUAUGCAGUAUGUGGAACAUUUCAUCAGGUGAGAGUUAGUUAUGGCAAAUUUUCACAAUGUGUG